GCAGCACGGGUGCUUGCACCUGGUGGCGAGUGGCGAACGGGUGAGUAAUACAUCGGAACGUGUCCUGUAGUGGGGGAUAGCCCGGCGAAAGCCGGAUUAAUACCGCAUACGAUCUACGGAUGAAAGCGGGGGAUCUUCGGACCUCGCGCUAUAGGGGCGGCCGAUGGCGGAUUAGCUAGUUGGUGAGGUAAAGGCUCACCAAGGCGACGAUCCGUAGCUGGUCUGAGAGGACGACCAGCCACACUGGGACUGAGACACGGCCCAGACUCCUACGGGAGGCAGCAGUGGGGAAUUUUGGACAAUGGGCGAAAGCCUGAUCCAGCAAUGCCGCGUGUGUGAAGAAGGCCUUCGGGUUGUAAAGCACUUUUGUCCGGAAAGAAAUCCUUGAUCCUAAUAUGGUCGGGGGAUGACGGUACCGGAAGAAUAAGCACCGGCUAACUACGUGCCAGCAGCCGCGGUAAUACGUAGGGUGCAAGCGUUAAUCGGAAUUACUGGGCGUAAAGCGUGCGCAGGCGGUGAUGUAAGACCGAUGUGAAAUCCCCGGGCUCAACCUGGGAACUGCAUUGGUGACUGCAUCGCUUGAGUAUGGCAGAGGGGGGUAGAAUUCCACGUGUAGCAGUGAAAUGCGUAGAGAUGUGGAGGAAUACCGAUGGCGAAGGCAGCCCCCUGGGUCAAUACUGACGCUCAUGCACGAAAGCGUGGGGAGCAAACAGGAUUAGAUACCCUGGUAGUCCACGCCCUAAACGAUGUCAACUGGUUGUCGGGUCUUCAUUGACUUGGUAACGUAGCUAACGCGUGAAGUUGACCGCCUGGGGAGUACGGUCGCAAGAUUAAAACUCAAAGGAAUUGACGGGGACCCGCACAAGCGGUGGAUGAUGUGGAUUAAUUCGAUGCAACGCGAAAAACCUUACCUACCCUUGACAUGUACGGAAUCCUGCUGAGAGGCGGGAGUGCCCGAAAG
rnacentral:rRNA from 1 species